UACAGAGGGGGCAAGCGUUAUUCGGAAUUAUUGGGCGUAAAGGGCGCGUAGGCGGCCUGGCAAGUGGAAGGUGAAAUCCCUCGGCUUAACCGAGGAACUGCCCUCCAAACUGCUUGGCUUGAGUCCGGGAGAGGUGAGUGGAAUUCCCAGUGUAGCGGUGAAAUGCGUAGAUAUUGGGAGGAACACCUGUGGCGAAAGCGGCGCACUGGACCAUAACUGACGCUGAUGCGCCAAAGCUAGGGGAGCAAACAGG
rnacentral:rRNA from 1 species